rnacentral:rRNA from 1 species
ACUCCUACGGGAGGCAGCAGUAGGGAAUCUUCCACAAUGGACGAAAGUCUGAUGGAGCAACGCCGCGUGAGUGAUGAAGGGUUUCGGCUCGUAAAACUCUGUUGUUGGAGAAGAACAGGUGUCAGAGUAACUGUUGACAUCUUGACGGUAUCCAACCAGAAAGCCACGGCUAACUACGUGCCAGCAGCCGCGGUAAUACGUAGGUGGCAAGCGUUGUCCGGAUUUAUUGGGCGUAAAGCGAGCGCAGGCGGUUUCUUAGGUCUGAUGUGAAAGCCUUCGGCUUAACCGGAGAAGUGCAUCGGAAACCAGGAGACUUGAGUGCAGAAGAGGACAGUGGAACUCCAUGUGUAGCGGUGAAAUGCGUAGAUAUAUGGAAGAACACCAGUGGCGAAGGCGGCUGUCUGGUCUGUAACUGACGCUGAGGCUCGAAAGCAUGGGUAGCGAACAGGAUUAGAUACCCUGGUAGUCCAUGCCGUAAACGAUGAGUGCUAAGUGUUGGAGGGUUUCCGCCCUUCAGUGCUGCAGCUAACGCAUUAAGCACUCCGCCUGGGGAGUACGACCGCAAGGUUGAAACUCAAAGGAAUUGACGGGGGCCCGCACAAGCGGUGGAGCAUGUGGUUUAAUUCGAUGCUACGCGAAGAACCUUACCAGGUCUUGACAUCUUCUGCCAACCUAAGAGAUUAGGCGUUCCCUUCGGGACAGAAUGACAGGUGGUGCAUGGCUGUCGUCAGCUCGUGUCGU